rnacentral:lncRNA from 1 species
GGCCUAAUGACUUGGGAGGUUCUGUCACACAUAUAAUGACUCAUGGUACAGAAACAAAUGUCACAUCUUCAAUAUAUAAUGGAGUUCUGUACAAAAUAGUUAAAUAGUUGCAUCAUACGAAGACAACGAUCCAGCAACCAAAGUUGACUGGGAGACGAUGGCCUAGACCACUCACAAACUCAUCACAGCGUCCUUCACGCACCUCAUCCAGUGGUACCUAUCCUUGACCUGGGGGGAUGUGAGUACAGCAAGGGUGAGCUCACAUACGUUCAUCGCUCAACAAGUUGUGGGGAAUAAUGUGCAUGAACUCACCAAAGGUGGGAGCUCAUGUGAAGUGUAAGGCUUACCAAAGGAGAUGGUUAAAGUUGAGCAUUGCUUUUAAAUUUGGUCAAAAUUUUAUUAGCAGUUAAUAAGUAUAAGUAGAUACCAACCCCAAAUAAGUAAGAGAUCAAAUUAAUAACAACACCCACAAUGCAAUGCAUAUGAAAAAUUAAGUUUAGUUCCACAGAUUAAUCAUGCGAGAGUCCUGAGCUGCUCAUGACCGCGAGCACGACUGAUAUACCAGUUUUACACUCUGCAGAGGUUGCGCCCUUUACCCACAAGUCGUGUAUCCCGUCUAGCCAGGGUUAGCUAGACCCUUAGACACUUUCGAGGUGAAUGGCUAGGGAUCCACUACGAGGCCUUUACAAAGUUCCACUAGCUUCAGAAACCCCGCUACAGUUUCUAGGAAGGGCAAUAUAGGAAUCCCUCGUCCAAAAAGCCAUCGCAGCAUGAUCGACCCGAGAACCUCCCUAUACUUAACUCCCCUACUAUCCUUGCCUCUUUCGGGUAAGGUAGUCCUCCACUAGCUUUCCUAAUUAGUCGGCCAAGGGAAUCCCAUUCCACCAUUGAGGUAGCACAGAUAUCUCAAGUUAAGCUCCAUGUUCUAAUUAACAUAGUGAUCUUGUCAUGAACAAUAAUUAAAACAACAGUAUACUUGGAACAUGAUCAUAAUGUAAUAUUAAUCCCAAAACCAGGUAGAGCAAUAGCAAAACUACCCAAAAGUUCAGUGGUAAACAAGGUGUGGGAUAAACAAGUCUAGGGAAACCUAUUAGGUCCCAUCAGAUUAACCUGAGCAUGUCAUAGUGAUUAACAUUAACAUUAUUGGGUAAAGAAAAGUGAUCAAGGGCACAACUUCCCUUAGACUUGAGGUUCCGGGUACCAAGUUAGUCUUCAGAUUCUCGUGACCUCACUGCUCAUCGUAGCCAUACAAACAAACAUGGUAUAGGCAAAAUUAACAUCACACCAAACAUAAGAGCAAACUGCAUAAUAAUGUUCUACGUAUCGUAACGAGAUCAUAGGCUCAAGAACCACUAAAUUCGGAGUUACGGUUAAGAAGAUAUGAUUUUCUAAAGUUGUAGAUGAAAGGGAAUUAGGCUUACACCUAUUUCCUAAUUGAUUUUGGUGGUUGAAUUGUCCAACACAAAUAAUUGGACUAACUAGUUUGCUCUAGUCUAUAAGUUCUACAGGUGCCAAAGGUUCACACUAAGCCAAUAAAAAGACCAAGAAAAGGGUUCAACAAAGAGAGCAAGGGAUAACCGAAGUGUGCCCUGGUCUGGCGCACCGGACUGUCCGGUGUGCCACCAGACAAUGUCCGGUGCCCCAGGGGACUCCAGACCAAACUCUUCACCUUUAGGAAUUCUCAGAGGCGCUUCGCUAUAAUUCACCGGACUGUCCGGUGCACCACCGGACAGUGUCCGGUGCUCCAGAAGACAGCGACUCUGAACUCGCCAGCUUCGGGAAUCCGCUCCGCUAUAAUUCACCGGACAUGUCCGGUGCACACCGGACUGUCCGGUGAGCCAGCGGAGCAACGGCUAUUCCGCGCCAACGGUCACCUGCUACAACAUUAAAUGUGCGCCUGCGCGUGCAGAGGAGCAGUGCACGCGCGGGUGGCACACCAGACAGUCUACAGGACUUGUCCGGUGCGCCACCGGACAGCCAGGCGAGCCCACAAGUCAGAGCUCCAACGGUCGGAACCCAACGGCCUGGUGACGUGGCUGGCGGACCGGACUGUCUGGUGCGCCAUGCGACAGCAGCCUCCACCAAACGGCUAGUUUGGUGGUUGGGGUUAUAAAUACCCCCAACCACCCACAUUCAAGUCAUCCAAGUUUUCCCACUUCAACUACUGACAAGAGCUCUAGCAUUCAAUUCUAGACACACCCAAGUGAUCAAAUCCUCUCCCAAUUCCACACAACACUUUAGUGAUUAGUGAGAGAGAUUUGCUUGUGUUCUUUCGAGCUCUUGCGCUUGGAUUGCUUCUUUCUUUUAUUCUUUCUUGUGAACAACUCAAUUGUAACCGAGGCAAGAGGCACCAAUUGUGUGGUGGCCCUUGCGGGGAAGUUUGUUCCCGUUUGAUUGAGAAGAAAAAGCUCACUCGGUCCGAGGGAUCGUUUGCGAGAGGGAAAGGGUUGAAAAAGACCCGGUCUUUGUGACCACCUCAACGGGGAGUAGGUUUGCGAGAACCGAACCUCGGUAAAACAAAUCCGCGUGUUACACUCUUUAUUCGCUUGCGAUUUGUUUUGCACCCUCUCUCGCGGACUCGAUUAUAUUUCUAACGCUAACCCGGCUUGUAGUUGUGAUUAACUUUGUAAAUUUCAGUUUCGCCCUAUUCACCCCCCUCUAGGCGACUUUCAGUAGAUGAUUAAACAAUAAAACCGUGUUUAUGUUGAUUAAUAUAAAUUAGAUGAGAAAAAUUACUUCAACUUAUACAUUUAAUUCAUCUCCUCAUCUAAGUUAUAUCUUAACUAUGAGUUGGUUUAUAAUUAUUACCUUAGAGAGCUUAAUUGGCUAAACAUAGGCUAAGAGUUAUCCAAUUAUAAAAGUUUGUUACAUAAUACAACUAAUGUUAUUACUGUAUGGAAAAACAUUAUUAUGAGACCAACACAAUUUGAACGGGUGGGAUCGGAGUUAAAAUGAGAAAGUUAUGGAAUUUACAAGUUUCUAGAUAUUUGUUAUUGAUUUUAUACCCUAAAACCAGUACUAGGGGUGUUUUUGCAACUUCCAGGGACUCCUACGUAAAAGUUUUACACUGCACACGACCCUAGGUUAUUUUUGUACCAGAUCAAGGUCUUCUUAACAAAACCAAUCGGUCGAUCGCACAAGAUUCAACCAGGACCAUCCAUUUAAGGAUCUAGGCCCAGAUUAGAUCAGGCCCCCAUCGAACCGGUAUGCAAUAUGGACCACCGGAUCACGAUCCCCUAGUCUAGAUCCAAAAUGCCCGAGAUCCAUCUUGAUCCAUCCGAUCGACGCCCAACCGCCCAGAUCCAAACACCCAAAAGGGCAUUUCUCGUUCUAAUCUCCACCACACGAUUCCAAAUUGGCGAUCCGGAUUUGAUCUUGCAAAAGGAUACGCUUCAUCAAAUCGCAUUCGUUCACACAGGAUCGGACGACACUGGGUUCCCCUCCUACUUCACUGGCCACGCGCGGCAGGCGCCCAAGCACAUACGGCGGCGCCAUGGCCGGAAACCACAAACUCUCUGCUCCCCUGCUCAAACCCCGAUAUGGAACGUGCUACCCACUAUGGAGAAGAUGGCAAAGCUGAAGGAAGGGCUCUCACCAAUAUCCCGGGCGCGGAGAUCCCCACCCACGCAGAGUUGCAGCGCCGCGGCGGCACGACACCAAUCGAGCGAUUCCCCCCGCACCCAACCACCCCAGCAAUACAAGGAAGCCCCAGAACCGCGUGGUGUACACUGGUGAAGGUCCAUUACCUGCCCCAGACUCCGAACGAUGGCGCUCUCCAAGCCUACCCACGGUGGUGAUGCUUCUCCCUCGGCAUGCUCCGUGAUUCCACCGAUGCCCUCGGAUUUGUGUGCUCCAAUCAUUUGGGUGGCCGUGGAGGAGGCGGAGGGGUCAUAUAUAUACUUUAGGAGGACGUGCAGACGCCAGGUCCACAGGAAUCGCGCGGCG